rnacentral:lncRNA from 1 species
AGCCUGUUUACAAAAUCCCAGCACAGAAUAGGUUUUAUGCAUAAUAUUAGAAGAGUUCAGACAUAACUUAAUAUAAAAAGAGUACAUACAUAACUUAAUAUUACAAGAGUUGAUACAUAAGUUAGUCAUAUACAUCCAACACUUUGUGGAAAAACCUAUUUGAUAAUUAUCUACUAAUCAAGCAAGCUGCUUCCCUUUCGCAUUCCCUUGCGCAUUAACUUCUUCCGUCUAGACGACCACAUUCACAUUCACUGAAAUCUGGAGAUCUUUAUCGUCACUUAUUCGAACUCGAGAUUGGAAUGAGCGGGACAUUUCUUCAAUUUUUUCAUUCUUGGCAGGGUUGUUCGACGGACCGCUUGGUGUAUCUUUCACAACCCAAUCCCAAAAUCCACAAUUGUUACUGCAGCAAAGGAAUAAUUUUCUUUCGUUUUUAGACUCCUUUUCCACAAUGAAACAUUUCUCAAAUCCAUGCUUACAUAGUGUGCAAAGGCGUUUCUUCUUGUACUCGGCAAAGAAGUGAUCUUUGGCUCGACAAUUAUGACAAAUUCCGGAGUCCCUUCCGGGCAUUCUAAGAUGGAAUCCACCACCACCAACAAAGGUGGAGUUAGUAAUGCAACAUUUCAAUAAAAAAAAUACAUAUAAUCACAUCUGAUUAAACACAAUAAAACCCCCUCUUCAAUCUGUAAAACAACCCAUCUCAACCACCAACAACAAAACGGAAUUCACCAGUCCACAAUUCAACCAAUCCACCACUACGAAUAGCCAACAAUUCUAGUUAACACACAGGUUAGUAUAAUCAGUAAUCCAGCGAGUAAAUAUAGUUCCUAAUUUUACCUCUACUGCAAAUACAUGACUUCAACCUCUAAGUAGUGAGCUACAGAUUGAAAUAUGAAAUGGAAAACAUUAUAGAUAAUACAAAAACAUGACUUCGGCCUCUGACUCAGAAAUACAUACACCGAUACAGAUUAAAAUCUCGAGUUAUAAUAUACUCAUAGCAAAGAGAUAGCUGCAUACAUAUAUACACAGACAUACAACGACCUCUCAUAGCUGCACUAUAGGCAUAAAUACCCAAGAAAUACAGUUCAAACACAAAUUCAAUAAUGUCAAAAAUCCACUAAUUCAAUAAAGUUUCGAAAUCGACGAACAUGACGAAUCGCACUGCUUGAUGAAACAACCAUACUACCUAGACAAUGCUGAAAAAAAAAGACUUAUUUCGUUGGGCGCCGAUAUAGGAAACAUUCCAAUGGUUAAGGCGAUGGCGUUAAUUUAUCAACAACAGGUCGCAAGAUCUGUUGGUUUGAUAUACCAAAGGUCGGAGAUGGUCACGGCUUCAACGACGACCGGAUAUGGUAGGUCGACCUACAACGAAGCCUUUCACAGCAAUGGACGAGUCAAUUCCACGACUGGACGUGCGGCCGGAGAUGGGUUCUUAUGCUUAGGGCUUCGAAUUUGGGGCUCUUCAGUUUCGGUUCGUGGGGGGAGAGAGAGAGUUAUGUAUGAAUUAAUCAUUUUCC